rnacentral:lncRNA from 1 species
UGUAGUCUAAACAUUGCCCAAUAGCAUGAAUAGUAUUCUAUAUUUGUUCAUUUGUAUUAUACCUUUUUCAGAUUGUAUUUGUUUAUUCAAUUUGUAUAUUCUCUUUUUGCAUUCUGUAGUUGUUCAUUAUAACAUUUCCAUCAAUAUUCUUAGGACUUAUGAUGGUAUUCUUAUGUAUGAUGUAGCUCAAUUAUGGUGGUUUUUACUUGAGUGUUAUAGUGUUACCUGCUAAAAUGUGAUUCUCAUGUAUGAUGUUAUAGCUAAAAUAUGGUGCUUUUUGCUCAACAUGCUCAUUUUUUGUAGGCCAUUAGUUUUUUCUUUUGAAUUGUUUUUCAUUUGUCAUUUCAGGGUCUUUUAUAGCUGACUAUGCUGUAAGGGCAUUGCUCAUUGUUGAAGGCCAUACAGUGACCUAUAGUUGUUAAUUUCUGUGUCAUUUGGUCUCUUGUGGCAAGUAUACCACCUCUUCUUUCUGGUGGUCUAGCAUAUGUUUGUUUUGCUUCAGCUUUAAAUGUUGUCAUGUUUAACCUUAUCGUCUGUAACAGCUAUCACAUAUAUAUGACAUAAGGGGAAAAGUACAAGUAUAUAACUAAAUAACACCUUAAGAGGUCAAUUGACAAUUUCAUCAAAU